UACGAAGGGGGCUAGCGUUGUUCGGAAUUACUGGGCGUAAAGGGCGCGUAGGCGGUGUGUCAAGUCAGGCGUGAAAGCCCCGGGCUCAACCUGGGAACCGCGCUUGAGACUGGCACGCUAGAGUUCGGGAGAGGAUGGUGGAAUUCCCAGUGUAGAGGUGAAAUUCGUAGAUAUUGGGAAGAACACCGAUGGCGAAGGCAGCCAUCUGGACCGACACUGACGUUGAGGCGCGAAAGCGUGGGGAGCAAACAGG
rnacentral:rRNA from 1 species